UCGUGACUCGUGGUCGUAGGUAUUUUAUUUUUGAAAUACCUAUUAGUUCUUGUAUAAUAUAAUAUAAUUAUUGUCUUAUUCACCACAUAUUGUAUUUUACGUAUUUUAUUUAAUAAUUUAAUACUUUAUCAAUCAUAUAAGUACCUAAAUUUACUUAUUACACUUGAAUUAGAUGCUUGGUGAUUACAUUUGUACAAUUUAUUGUUUAAUCAUUUAUACAUAAUACACUAUUUUUGUUCAAAUGUAUACCUAACCAAGGAACACUGGUACUUACUGGAUAAUACAUGAGUUGUUAUACAAUGAAGUGGCAUAAUAUGACAACACAGAAAUAUUGUGAUAAUAUUUCCAUAUUAUUUAAAAUUAGUCAUUACAAUACUCAGCUGGACACUGGGUUUUUCAUGAAAGUCUAUACCUACUCUACAAAUGUUAUAUCAAAAUCUCCACUUUUUAGUUCCUAAACUAAAAGUGAAUAGAAAAUUAUUUAUCUACAUAAUAUGUGAUGAUUCAAAAUCAGUUUCACAUAGGUCAUUUUACCUAAUUUAAAUAUGCCAUAAUGGAAUCAGCUACCUAUGACACACAAUUCAGAAGAUCCUGUAUGUUAAAAUUAUAUUCAUACUGCUAUGUUUAAUUACAUUUUAAAAUGGUAACUGUGAAAAAUAAAAAUAAUUUUUCACAUAUUGGAUUUAAAUAUUUCAACAGACUACAGAACAAAAUAAAAUAUUCAAGACAAUUGCAAAGAAGUGGGAAAAAUGUAGCUGGACUAAGUGCAUACAUAUUACAAAUGAUGUGUAUUGAAACUAAAAAUGUUGUGAAUGUUAAUGUUUUGUACUUUGUAUGAUAUUUUAAUUAAUUUAAAUGAGGUGACAACAUCAAUCAUUACAAAUCAAAAGAUAAAAUAAUGUAUGUUGUGUUUAAUACACACAAUAUAAUAUGUAGAUUGUGUAAAUCAAAUAAAGAAUUUAAAAAAAAAUAAAAUAGGUAUGUGAUUUAUAAUUAUU